GUCAUACGAAUGCAAGGCAUAGCAUGGCCUCAACUCUGUGUCUCUCCUGUUGUGCAACUGAGAACGUAUCCAGUAUUAUCAUGUAUGUGUGUUUGGGUAAAAGCAUCUCGCAGCUGGCCUAAGUUGAAAGAAAACUUUUUUCCCCCUUUUCUUUUUCCCUCUAGCAGCGAUACUUCACACAGUACUGAGGGAGCUUUUGGCAUUAGGACAACUGGUAAAAAUCAGGAAGAUUGGAAAAGGUGCACCAGGAAACAACGCUCCGUUUUAUGUCAGUGGCCACGUUCUCAAUGAGAUCCGCAACCGCAGAGCUCAUAACCGACUUCUGAAGCCAACAGAUAUGAAAUAUUUCAGUGCUCACAUUAAACGUCGGUAUGAAAAGUUGUAACAUUUUACAGCGUUUGCAAAAGCGAACAGUAUCAGCGCUCUCCCAUCCCGCAGUGCCCGCCCGGCGGCAGCGCCGCCUCCGAGCGCCCCCCGCUCCGCGCUGCCGGUCCCGGGGAUUGCAGCGACAAGCGAAAACUCCUCGAUUUGCCGAGCGAGCAGCUCGGAAUCGCUGCUAACCAGCGGGACUUUAACAGCCGACGUGCCACCGCGGUGCCUACACGCCGGCGGCUCCCUCCCGACGGGGCAGGGACGGACAUUUUCUCGCCCCCGCUCGGCCGGGAGACAGGGACGUACAUCCACCGGACCGAAACAUCUACCCCCGAGCCGCCAUCCCGACGCACCGCCCGCCUUCGCUCCGCGCCCCCCGGCACCGACCCGGGUCCCGCGGGGUCCCGGCUCGCUCCGUCCCGCCGCCCGCGGAGCCGCACGGGGCAGGCGGGCGGUCCGACUGCGGCGCCCCCUGGCGGCAGCGGCUGCACGGGAGCCGGGGAGGGAGGGGAUCGCGGCGCGGUGUUGCCCCGCGCCCCAACGCAUCGCCGCCCCUCCGUGCGGGACGAAGGGGACUCGCAGGCAGCCUGUGGAGCGGCCCCACUGCCGGCUGCGCGCCGCCUCCGCCUGGCAGCGUGCGCGUGCGGUCCGCUUCGAUAAGGCUCGGUUAAAGCUUAACCCGGGCAGGCCGAGGGGCGAGCGCCGGCGGCGGGCAGGAAGCGCUUCUCUGCGGUGCCCCGCCGGGAGCCGCGCCUGGGGCGGAACCGCCUUCGCCUCGCCCUGGGGGCCCGCUCCGCUCCGCACCAAAUGGCGGCGUGGCGCUGCACGCGUGCCGCCCGGGGCUGGUCAGCCUGCCCCGUCUCACCCUCAGUUUUAUGGUCCUUUGCAGUAG
rnacentral:lncRNA from 1 species